rnacentral:tRNA from 1 species
UAAUGUAGCUCAAUGGUAGAGCAGCUCAUUCGUAAUGAGCAGGUUGGGGGUUCAAUUCCCUUCAUUA